rnacentral:rRNA from 1 species
GCCGCGGUAAUUCCAGCUCCAAUAGCGUAUAUUAAAGUUGUUGCAGUUAAAAAGCUCGUAGUUGGAUCUCAGGUCCCGGCUCGCGGUUCACUUCGCGGUGCUUACUGCCCGUCCGGACCUACCCGCCGGUUUUCCCUUGGUGCUCUUCAUUGAGUGUCUCGGGUGGCCGGAACGUUUACUUUGAAAAAAUUAGAGUGUUCAAAGCAGGCGCUUCGCCUGAAUAAUGGUGCAUGGAAUAAUGGAAUAGGACCUCGGUUCUAUUUUGUUGGUUUUCGGAACUCGAGGUAAUGAUUAAGAGGGACAGACGGGGGCAUUCGUAUUACGGUGUUAGAGGUGAAAUUCUUGGAUCGCCGUAAGACCGAACUACUGCGAAAGCAU